AAAGAAUCAAUACCCACUGGAUGAGUCAUCACAGCCCAGGCUUCUUCCACAAACACAGCUGGGGAGGGCUGCUUAAUGCAGUGUCCAUUAAGGUUAACGGGCACUUCCAAUAGGGUUUUUUCACGUUUCCCUUGACCAAGUUCAACUCACACUUCAUCCAGACAGAAGUUACAGGCACUGAUGAAAGAAGUUGGCUGCCUCAACUGCUCAAAAGAAUGCACCUUUUAUCUCUGGAUUAUCUACCAUGGUUAAGUCCACAGCUGCUUGCAAUUACCCUGGACCCUGUGAAAUCAUCUCUUUAUUCAUGUGCUGCAGCGGUGGAUCAUGAUUUCAAAAUACAAUCAUAAUCACCAUCAGAAGAAAUGCGAGAGAAGAUGAAAAACAAAUGCAAAGCAAUUAAAAAAGGAUGAGUUUUCCUACUGAAUGAGUGAAUGUGUUUUCCCAUUGCCUCCUCCUACACUUGGGCCUUGGGAUGCUCUGCCCCUAGCCAUGUGUAUGUGUGUGGGGGUGUGCAUGCACGUGUGUGUGUGCGUGUGUGUGUGCUUACAUUUUUGCCCUUAUUAUGAAUCUGGGCCUGGGAUUAGAGCAUGAAUACUCACUGAAGUGGCUUAUUACUUGGAGAAUACCAUCCUUCUGCUUGAUUGGAUUUUUCUGUUUAAGCAUCUAUGGUUUUAGUGGUCAGAGGGUCCUGGCCACAAAGUUUAUUUUAUGACCCAUGUACCACCCUUCACAUCUCCUCUUAUAAGGACACUUUUAGUACAUGACUUCCACAGUAGUGCAGUAGUAUUUUUUUAAGUUUUUCUAUGCUUGAAAAAUAAUUUUCCACUUCCAGAAUUUACCUGCCCCUCCAUCCUUGCUUUCCCAAUCCCUGCUCCUUCCAUUAUCCUUUUGCAACACCCCUCCACCUCCAUCACUGACCGAGAUGCCUGAAAAUUCAAUAACAUCCUAUUAUCUCUGCUGGGCAACUUGCCAGCUAGAAGCUCAGAGGACUGGUCACUUUGUUUUGGGGACACUGCCUUUCUUGCUUGUUGCAUUCUUGCAAACCUGUGGAAACACUGAAUCCCUUUGCACUGCCUGGAAAGUCAUUCUUUGUAUUGAUUCUUUUUUCUUUUUUCCAUUUCUGGCUUGGGGUACAAUGAAGGCACAAUAUAUUUCGCCAAAUCUUAAAACCUUAAAGCAAUUUGUGCAUCC
rnacentral:lncRNA from 10 species